rnacentral:rRNA from 1 species
GACGUAGGGCGCGAGCGUUUGUCCGGAUUUAUUGGGCGUAAAGAGCUCGUAGGCGGCUCGUUGCGUCGGCUGUGAAAGCCCGGGGCUUAACUCCGGGUCUGCAGUCGAUACGGGCAGGCUAGAGUUCGGUAGGGGAGAUCGGAAUUCCUGGUGUAGCGGUGAAAUGCGCAGAUAUCAGGAGGAACACCGGUGGCGAAGGCGGCGCUCUGGAACGUACCUGACGCUGAGACACGAAAGCGUGGGGAGCAAACAGG